GACGAACGCUGGCGGCGUGCCUAAUACAUGCAAGUCGAACGCUUCUUUCCUCCCGAGUGCUUGCACUCAAUUGGAAAGAGGAGUGGCGGACGGGUGAGUAACACGUGGGUAACCUACCCAUCAGAGGGGGAUAACACUUGGAAACAGGUGCUAAUACCGCAUAACAGUUUAUGCUGCAUGGCAUAAGAGUGAAAGGCGCUUUCGGGUGUCGCUGAUGGAUGGACCCGCGGUGCAUUAGCUAGUUGGUGAGGUAACGGCUCACCAAGGCCACGAUGCAUAGCCGACCUGAGAGGGUGAUCGGCCACACUGGGACUGAGACACGGCCCAGACUCCUACGGGAGGCAGCAGUAGGGAAUCUUCGGCAAUGGACGAAAGUCUGACCGAGCAACGCCGCGUGAGUGAAGAAGGUUUUCGGAUCGUAAAACUCUGUUGUUAGAGAAGAACAAGGACGUUAGUAACUGAACGUCCCCUGACGGUAUCUAACCAGAAAGCCACGGCUAACUACGUG
rnacentral:rRNA from 1 species